rnacentral:rRNA from 1 species
AACAUAGCCUUUAACCUCACAAAGGUAUAACCCUGCUCUAUGAUUAAUUUAACAGCCGCGGUAUCCUAACCGUGCUAAGGUAGCAUAAUCAUUUGCCUACUAAUUAUAGGCUAGAAUGAAUGGGACUACUAACUUAACUCUAUUCAUUUAAAAUUAAAACUAAACUAAAAGUUAAAAUGCUUCGUUUCUAAAAAAGACAAAAAGACCCUGGAAACUAUAUUAAUAAUAUUAGUUGGGGCAACUAUAGACCAAUUCAGCGUCUAUUAAUCUAAACUAAAUAAAAAUCAAAAGUUCACAGUUACUCCAGGGAUAACAGACUAAUUUCAACUUAUAGACCUAAUAUAAUUUGAAGAUUGGCACCUCGAUGUUGGCUUAUAACUUUCCAAUUGAAGCACCACUCAAUUUUGGAUAGCUUGUUCAUCUAUUAAAUGUUUACAUGAGCUGAGUU